ACGACCUUACUUGAACAGGAUCUGUUCUAUAGUAGUCGUACCGCUGCAUCCUUUACCAAUAAGGAGGCAAGCACUUAACCCUGGAUCAUCAGUUGAGAUGAUCCAUGGCUGUAGAGGAUCGUUCUUGAUCAGCCCUAGCUAACCAGGUGGCUCGUUCUUGAUCAGCCCUACCUGACCAGGUGGCUCGUUCUUGAUCAGCCCUACCUGACCAGGUGGCUCGUUCUUGAUCAGCCCUAGCUGACCAGGUGGCUCUCAGGUUGCCUGACAGGGC
rnacentral:snoRNA from 1 species